rnacentral:rRNA from 1 species
UACGGAGGGGGCUAGCGUUGUUCGGAAUUACUGGGCGUAAAGCGCACGUAGGCGGCUUUGCAAGUUAGAGGUGAAAGCCCGGGGCUCAACUCCGGAAUUGCCUUUAAAACUGCAUCGCUAGAAUUGUGGAGAGGUAAGUGGAAUUCCGAGUGUAGAGGUGAAAUUCGUAGAUAUUCGGAAGAACACCAGUGGCGAAGGCGGCUUACUGGUCCGGAACUGACGCUGAGGUGCGAAAGCGUGGGGAGCAAACAGGAUUGAGAAACCC